UACGUAGGGGGCAAGCGUUAUCCGGAAUCAUUGGGCGUAAAGCGCGUGUAGGCGGUUCCGUAAGUCCGCUCUGAAAGCCCAGGGCUCAACCCUGGGAGGCGGGUGGAUACUACGGAACUGGAGUACGGAAGAGGAGAUUGGAAUUCCUGGUGUAGCGGUGAAAUGCGCAGAUAUCAGGAGGAGCACCGGUGGCGAAGGCGGUUCUCUGGGCAUUACCUGACGCUGAGGAGCGAAAGUGUGGGGAGCGAACAGG
rnacentral:rRNA from 1 species